UGUGUGUGUAUGUGUAUAUAUGUAUACAGAUAUGUAUACAUGUCUAUGUAAACACACACACACACACACACACACACACACACACACACA
rnacentral:miRNA from 10 species